rnacentral:rRNA from 1 species
UACGGGGGGGGCAAGCGUUGUUCGGAUUCAUUGGGCGUAAAGGGUGCGUAGGCGGUAGGGUAAGUCUGGUGUGAAAUCCUGGAGCUUAACUUCAGAAAUGCACUGGAUACUGCUUUGCUAGAGGACUGGAGAGGAGAUUGGAAUUCACGGUGUAGCAGUGAAAUGCGUAGAUAUCGUGAGGAAGACCAGUGGCGUAAGCGAAUCUCUGGACAGUUCCUGACGCUGAGGCACGAAGGCUAGGGGAGCAAACGGG